rnacentral:rRNA from 1 species
GCGCAAGCCUGUACCAGCCAUGCCGCGUGAAGGAUAAAGGCCCUAUGGGUCGUAAACUUCUUUUGUACGGGACGAAACCCCCGAACGUCUUCUGGGCUGACGGUCCUGUCCGAAUAAGCAUCGGCUAACUCCGUGCCAGCACCCGCGGUAAUACGGAGGAGGCAAGCCUUAUCCCGAUUCAUUCGGGUUAAAGGGUGCGUAGGCGGGAUAUUAGGUAAGUGGUGCAAGCCUGCAGCUUAACUGUUGAAUUGGCAAUGAUACUGAAAUUCUUGAGUAGAGUUGGGGUAGGUGGAAUGUGGGGUGGAGCGGUGAAAUGCCUAGAUAUGACACAGAACACCGGUUGCGAAGGCAGGUUACUUAGCUGUUACUGAUGGUGGGGCACGGAAGGGUGGGGAGCAAACAG